AUGAACGCUGGCGGCAUGCCUCACACCUGCCAGUCGCUCGGUAAGGCUCUUCGGAGUACACGAGAGGCGGACGGCUGAGUAACGCGUAGGAACACACCCUGCAGUGCGGGAUAAGACACCGAAAGGUGUUCUAAUACCGCAUACGGUCUUCGGAUUAAAGCAUUUAUGCGCUGAAGGAGUGGCCUGCGUCAUAUUAGAUAGUUGGUGAGGUAAUGGCUCACCAAGUCGAUGAUGUGUAGCUGGUCUGAGAGGAUGAUCAGCCAGACUGGAACUGAGACACGGUCCAGACUCCUACGGGAGGCAGCAGUGAGGAAUAUUUCACAAUGAGCGAAAGCUUGAUGGAGCAAUGCCGCGUGCAGGAUGAAGGCCCUCGGGUUGUAAACUGCUUUUAUAAGAGAAGAUUAUGACGGUAACUGAUGAAUAAGGGACGGCUAACUACGUG
rnacentral:rRNA from 1 species